rnacentral:rRNA from 1 species
UACAGAGGUCUCAAGCGUUGUUCGGAUUCAUUGGGCGUAAAGGGUGCGUAGGCGGCGCGGUAAGUCGGGUGUGAAAUCUUGGAGCCUAACUUCGAAACUGCAUUCGAUACUGCCGUGCUUGAGGACUGGAGAGGAGACUGGAAUUUACGGUGUAGCGGUGAAAUGCGUAGAUAUCGUAAGGAAGACCAGUGGCGAAGGCGGGUCUCUGGACAGUUCCUGACGCUGAGGCACGAAGGUCAGGGGAGCAAACGGG